GAUGAACGCUGGCGGCGUGCCUAAUACAUGCAAGUCGAGCGAACGGACGAGAAGCUUGCUUCUCUGAUGUUGCGGCGGACGGGUGAGUAACACGUGGAUAACCUACCUAUAAGACUGGGAUAACUUCGGGAAACCGGAGCUAAUACCGGAUAAUAUUUUGAACCGCAUGGUUCAAAAGUGAAAGUCGGUCUUGCUGUCACUUAUAGAUGGAUCCGCGCUGCAUUAGCUAGUUGGUAAGGUAACGGCUUACCAAGGCAACGAUGCAUAGCCGACCUGAGAGGGUGAUCGGCCACACUGGAACGGAGACACGGUCCAGACUCCUACGGGAGGCAGCAGUAGGGAAUCUUCCGCAAUGGGCGAAAGCCUGACGGAGCAACGCCGCGUGAGUGAUGAAGGUCUUCGGAUCGUAAAACUCUGUUAUUAGGGAAGAACAUAUGUGUAAGUAACUGUGCACAUCGUGACGGUACCUAAUCAGAAAGCCACGGCUAACUACGUG
rnacentral:rRNA from 1 species